rnacentral:rRNA from 1 species
CACGUAGGAGGCGAGCGUUGUCCGGAAUCAUUGGGCGUAAAGAGCGCGCAGGCGGCUUGACAAGUCGGGUGUGAAAUCCCGGGGCUCAACCCCGGGACUGCAUUCGAUACUGUCAGGCUAGAGGUAGGUAGGGGAGAUCGGAAUUCCUGGUGUAGCGGUGAAAUGCGUAGAUAUCUGGAGGAACACCGGUGGCGAAGGCGGCAUCCUGGACCGGUAUUGACGCUGAGGCGCGAAAGCCAGGGGAGCAAACGGG